rnacentral:misc_RNA from 1 species
CUGUAAUUCACCUAGUACAUGACUUAUGUCUGGCCUUUGUAUCGCAACGUCUGAUACACAGGAAAAGGCAAUCUCCACAGCUUUCCAGGCUGAAUUGGCAUCGAAUUCCCCUUGCAGUCUGGGAUCAACAAUGGUUUGAAUAUCACCCCUGUUAAUUUUAGGUCUAAUCCACUGACGUAUGCAAAUGAAGCCUCCAAGGGUGUUUCUUAUUACUGCAGGCAGACCAGUUAUGAGCUCAAGUAGAAUAAUCCCAAAG